rnacentral:rRNA from 1 species
GAUGAACGCUGGCGGCGUGCCUAAUACAUGCAAGUCGAGCGAACAGACGAGGAGCUUGCUCCUCUGACGUUAGCGGCGGACGGGUGUGUAACACGUGGAUAACCUACCUAUAAGACUGGGAUAACUUCGGGAAACCGGAGCUAAUACCGGAUAAUAUAUUGAACCGCAUGGUUCAAUAGUGAAAGACGGUUUUGCUGUCACUUAUAGAUGGAUCCGCGCCGCAUUAGCUAGUUGGUAAGGUAACGGCUUACCAAGGCAACGAUGCGUAGCCGACCUGAGAGGGUGAUCGGCCACACUGGAACUGGGAAACGGUCCAGGCUCCUACGGGAGGCAGCAGUAGGGAAUCUUCCGCAAUGGGCGAAAGCCUGACGGAGCAACGCCGCGUGAGUGAUGAAGGUCUUCGGAUCGUAAAACUCUGUUAUUAGGGAAGAACAAAUGUGUAAGUAACUAUGCACGUCUUGACGGUACCUAAUCAGAAAGCCACGGCUAACUACGUG